GACGAACGCUGGCGGCGUGCUUAACACAUGCAAGUCGAACGGGAUCCGGGUUUCGGCCCGGUGAGAGUGGCGAACGGGUGAGUAACGCGUAGGCAAUCUGCCCUUCGGUGGGGGAUAGCCCCGGGAAACCGGGAUUAAUACCGCAUGACGCGUCGGGAUCGCAUGGUUCUGACGUUAAAGAUUUAUCGCCGAGGGAUGAGCCUGCGUUGCAUUAGCUAGUUGGUGGGGUAACGGCUCACCAAGGCGACGAUGCAUAGCUGGUCUGAGAGGAUGAUCAGCCACACUGGGACUGAGAUACGGCCCAGACUCCUACGGGAGGCUG
rnacentral:rRNA from 1 species